GAUGAACGCUAGCGGCAGGCCUAACACAUGCAAGUCGAACGGUAACAGGGAAGAGCUUGCUCUUUCGCUGACGAGUGGCGCACGGGUGCGUAACGCGUAUACAAUCUACCUUUAAGCGGGGGAUAGCCCAUGGAAACGUGGAUUAAUACCCCAUAGUCUAUAAACUUCACCUGGAGAUUAUAGUAAACAUUUAUGGCUUAAAGAUGAGUAUGCGUCCUAUUAGUUAGUUGGUAAGGUAACGGCUUACCAAGACGGCGAUAGGUAGGGGUCCUGAGAGGGAGAUCCCCCACACUGGUACUGAGACACGGACCAGACUCCUACGGGAGGCAGCAGUGAGGAAUAUUGGACAAUGGAGGCAACUCUGAUCCAGCCAUGCCGCGUGCAGGAAGACUGCCCUAUGGGUUGUAAACUGCUUUUAUACGGGAAGAACCGCAGCUACGUGUAGUUGUUUGACGGUACCGUAAGAAUAAGGAUCGGCUAACUCCGUGCCAGCAGCCGCGGUAAUACGGAGGAUCCAAGCGUUAUCCGGAAUCAUUGGGUUUAAAGGGUCCGUAGGCGGGACAAUCAGUCAGUGGUGAAAGUCUGUGGCUCAACCAUAGAAUUGCCAUUGAUACUGUUGUUCUUGAGUUAUUAUGAAGUGGUUAGAAUGUGUAGUGUAGCGGUGAAAUGCAUAGAUAUUACACAGAAUACCGAUUGCGAAGGCAGAUCACUAAUAAUAUACUGACGCUGAUGGACGAAAGCGUAGGUAGCGAACAGGAUUAGAUACCCUGGUAGUCUACGCCGUAAACGAUGGUUACUAGCUGUCCGGCCCAAUUGAGGGCUGGGUGGUUAAGCGAAAGUGAUAAGUAACCCACCUGGGGAGUACGUUCGCAAGAAUGAAACUCAAAGGAAUUGACGGGGGCCCGCACAAGCGGUGGAGCAUGUGGUUUAAUUCGAUGAUACGCGAGGAACCUUACCAGGGCUUAAAUGUAGAU
rnacentral:rRNA from 1 species